rnacentral:rRNA from 1 species
GAUGAACGCUGGCGGCGUGCCUAAUACAUGCAAGUCGAGCGAACAGACGAGGAGCUUGCUCCUCUGACGUUAGCGGCGGACGGGUGAGUAACACGUGGAUAACCUACCUAUAAGACUGGGAUAACUUCGGGAAACCGGAGCUAAUACCGGAUAAUAUAUUGAACCGCAUGGUUCAAUAGUGAAAGACGGUUUUGCUGUCACCUAUAGAUGGAUCCGCGCCGCAUUAGCUAGUUGGUAAGGUAACGGGUUACCAAGGCAACGAUGCGUAGCCGACCUGAGAGCGAGGUGGGCCAAGAAGAACAUAACGCGCGGCACAGUCACCAAGGGGAGGAGGGAUUGGGGAACUUUGCGCAGGGGGCGAAAGCGUGUCAGAACAACUGCGGUGGAUAUAUGAAGGUUUUGGGAUCAUAAACCUAUGUUUUUAGGGGAAAAAAAGUGUAAAAGUGACAAUACCCGUCUUGGGGUCACCUAAACAAGAAGCCCCAGCUGACCAGGG